rnacentral:lncRNA from 1 species
UUGGUUUUUGUGACGUGCGUUUCUGCGGCUCGUGGAAACGCCCCGGAGCUCCGGGAGGCAUCGGCGACGGCGCAGCCUGGGACGGCCAGGCGCGGGCGGGAAGCUGGGCGCUCGGGGCCUGCAGUGGCUGGCGGGGAGAAGCGCGCAUCCCCGCCCAGCCUACGGCGUGGAAUCGAGGUACUUGCAGUUCUGCGAAGAAGUGGAGCGUCCC